CGUCUAUAUACGUAUAGCAUAUCAAUAAGCGGAGGAAAAGAAACUAACAAGGAUUCCCUUAGUAACGGCGAGUGGAGCGGGAAGAGCUCAAAUUUGAAAUCUUCAAGGUUCUACCUUGACGAAUUGUAGUUUAAAGAAGUGUUUUCUGUUAGAGGAGUAGCAAAAGUUCCUUGGAAUAGGGACAUCAUAGAGGGUGAGAAUCCCGUAUUUGGUUACUUCUUUCUAGCUGUGUGAUACACUUUCAAAGAGUCGGAUUGUUUGGGAAUGCAGUCCAAAAUGGGUGGUAAAUUUCAUCUAAAGCUAAAUAUUGGCGAGAGACCGAUAGCGAACAAGUACCGUGAGGGAAAGAUGAAAAGAACUUUGAAAAGAGAGUUAAACAGUACGUGAAAUUGUCAAAAGGGAAGCGUUUGACACCAGUGUUGUUUUUCCGAAAAUCAAUUAAGAGUGGCUUGAUUUUGUGUUGUAUUGACCUUAUCAGCUUUCUUCACUCUUUUUCGAGUCUUUCUUAAUGCACUUUUCGGUUAACAAGUCAACAUCAAUUUCUUUUGUUGUAAAAGGGUAUUUGGAAGGUGGCUUUCUUUUCGGAGAAAGUGUUUAUAGCCUUAUACCUCUACAAUCGGAGAGAUUGAGGUCUGCAGCGUAGAUCCUCGGGGCUAGAUACACUUGUGCUAAGUUAUAGCUUUUCAUAGACAACUUGUUGACUAUGUUUAGUCAUGUAGCUUACUCGCUUAUGCUAUUUUACCUACGCUUAGGAUGUUGAGUCAUCACACAUCUCU
rnacentral:rRNA from 1 species